UACGUAGGGACCGAGCGUUGUCCGGAAUCAUUGAGCGUAAAGAGCGUGUAGGCGGCUCGCUAAGUCUUGCGUGAAAUCUCGGGGCUCAACCCCGAGCGGUCGUGAGAAACUGGCGGGCUAGAGUGCGGGAGAGGAGAGUGGAAUUCCUGGUGUAGCGGUGAAAUGCGCAGAUAUCAGGAAGAACACCCGUGGCGAAGGCGGUUCUCUGGGCAUGUCCUGACGCUGAGGAGCGAAAGUGUGGGGAGCGAACAGG
rnacentral:rRNA from 1 species